rnacentral:sRNA from 1 species
GGAAACUGGUGAUUUCCCUUCUUAUUAAAGGGACUUGGACACGAUUUGACUUAAAAUUUUCAAAUCUUAUUUUUCCAUUUUCAAUGUUUAAACUGAUAAAUAUAGAAGUUUUUGAUGCUAUGUCAAAAUUUAAAAGUCAAAUAUCAAGUUAUAAGCAAGAUACAGAGGUCAUAAUUCUUUGUUUUGUAAACAAAGCUCGAAUAUUUUCAUUAUUUACAUAUGUGUUGCAUUGGUGUAAGUUUCAAUCAAAUGUAUCUUUCUUUUGUUGAUAAUAAUAUUUAUGAAGAUAU